UGGGUCAACUGCCAGGACAUGCUGGUAAUGGCGGAUGGUGUGCAGACGGUCCUUGUUCUCAGCACGAACGUAGCGCUUCAGAGCUUGCACAAUGCGGUGGGGUCGUGGUGGGACAGCUUGCAGGGCAGCCAGGUAGUUCUCCAGAGCAAUCCGACGGCGAUCAUUCAGUAUGGCUUCCACACGAGCCAGGUGAGUUUCCACAAGCUGCUGCUUCUCACUUGCUGCCUCUUUCUCCAGAGAUUUAACCAUUGCCUGGAAGUGCUGAAUGAGAGUCUGUCUUUCUGCCUUGGGGAGAUUUACAGCUUGGUGCUCUGCCUCCUCCCAUUCCUUUUUCACCCGAUCCAUGCGGUUGUGGUGCCUGACCUCCAGCUGCUCCUUCGCCUUCUGGAAGCGGGCAUGUUCAUUGUCAUCAGCAGGGGUUUCGAAAUACACAUCCACAUCAUCAGUUGGCAUCAUCUUUUUACACACAGCCAUACAAUACUCCUCUGACUCAAAAUUGUUCCUGUUGCCUCCGCAGCCUCCAUAUAUAAAGCGAAUGCAUUUUCUCUUGUUAGAGUCGAAGUACCAACGAGGCAUCACAGCCCGGCAGGGCCCUGUCAUCGCCUCCUGGGAGCAGACAGAUUUCAUAUCACUGCUCACUUCCUUUUCAGAAACAGCCUUGUCACUGGUGGGCUCUGUAGUGGUCUCCUCAUCGUAAUCAUCUACUUUGUAGCUAUUGUAAUAGUAAUCACGAUCUUCCACCACAUCCUCUUCUUCCUCCCCUUCAUCUUCUUCAUCCUCAUCUUCCUCCACAGCUGUUCCUGUGAAGUCUUCUACACCUGCUUCUGUAGGGAACUCACUUUUGUAAGUGUCAUAGUCUUCGUCCUCAUCUUCAUCCUCUUCCUCUUUGGACAGAGCCUCAUCCACAACUUUUGUCUGGGGACAACAUACAUAUUCUGUUCCAUGGAACUGGUCUACUCCGCAGGGCAGCAGCAUGCCGUAACUGUGCAGGAUCAUCCCUUCUGUCAGACAGGCCUCUUUUGCUGCCGUGUGCCAGUGCUGAUGGCUUUCACACACAUCCAUCCGCUCCUUGUGGAAGAACCGGCACUUCUCCGGGACCAGCAGCACGUCGCUCACAAACUCACCCACCAGGCACUUGUAGGGCACGACGAUAUGAGUGUGGUCCUUGCACUGCUUCUUCCCCCUCUUGCACCAGCUGUCAAUACUGACAGGCUGAUUGGCUUCCACGACAUUUGUGAUCUGAAGGUCUGGAUACAUCUCCUGGCAGUACUGCAGAAUCUCCUCCUUCGUUCCAAAGCAGCUCUUGGUCCCAGAAGUGUCAGGUUCCCAUUUCCCGGUCUGGAUAUUCACAUGCAUAUUUAGCUUCCCACAGAACAUGGCAAUUUGAGGCUCUGCCACCGCAAACCCUGUCCCAGCAUUGGCUGCGAGUGCCUCGAUGUAUCCGGCCAGCGUGACGGCGGGGCCGGCCAGCCCCAGCAGGAGCAGGAGGGGGAAGUGCCGUGCGGUUCCCAUCGCUGCCACCACCGCCGCCG
rnacentral:lncRNA from 1 species